UUCUUCUGCAUAGUAAAGUUUCAAAGCUGUAUUAAGUCAAUGUUCAGCUGUAAGCUUUUGAAAGAACAACCGUAACAUUUUGUUGAGUUAUGACCAUUUCAGGGUUAUAACAACCUCCAUUCCCGAGGUGUUUGUAACUCUGAGGUUCUAUUGUAUUUAAAAGAAAAAGGGGGAAAAAAAGGUAGGUGUUUCAAAAUCAUAAAGGAAUUAUAUGAACUGGAAAGGGCCUGGCAUUCAUUACUGAGGUAUAGACAAAGCAUGUUACAGGGGGACUGUCAAAUACGCAGCGUGAACACCACCUGCCCCCAGUGUUUCUGUUCUUGUUUCUUUAAUUUUGUCCCCUUUUUUGCCCCAGCUUAACUGUUUGGUUUGGGAGGUGUGUUGCCUUUGUAUCAUAGAACAUCUAUGUAAAAAACAACCCUCCCAAAAAAAUGCCUUCUAGUGAGUGACUUAGAGCUCAAUCUGUUCAGCUUAGCACUGAGGUUGAGAGGUGACUUCAUUAUGGUGUAUAAGUUCUUUCAUGGGGAGGAAAGGCUGGUACUAACAGUCUCUCUCUAAUCUAGCAGAGAAAGGUAUUACAAGAACCAAUGGCUGGAAGCUCAAGUCAGACAAAUUCCAGUUAUAAACUAGGCACAAAUUUUUAACAGUCAUGGUGAUUAACCAAUGGAACAACCUACCCAGGAAGUGGUGGAUUCUCAAUCUCUUGAUGUCUUCAUAUCUAGAUUGGAUGUCUUUCUGGAAGGUAUGCUUUAGUCAAACCUGUGUUACUGGAUUCAGCACGGGUAAAUGGGUGACAUUCUAUGGUCUGCUUGAUAGUGGAGGUCAGAUUAGAUGGUCAAAUUGUUUUUUGGCUCUGAAAUGUAUGAAGCAGGUUGGUUUUUGUCUUCCGAUCUUUCCACUCUGAUGUGUGAGAAGAGAGAUGCAAUGAAAGGUGUAGCAUUACAGUUCCCGGCAGUAUAAUCUGGGCGAAAAACCCAGAAGAUGAUAAUUGUGUUGCCAAAGGGCUGCAACCAUGGAAUCAGCAAUUGGUGAGACAAGGAGAAAGGCAAGAAUUUUGCUUAUGCAAAUAAACGUACAUUUCUUACCCAAUUUGUAUGUAACCUCACAGGACUGGAAACAAUGUGGCAAUGUGUUGCUGAUGUGCAAUUUUGAGGCACCCAACUAUCUCCUGGUUAAAGAUUCCUUAACUGUUAGGAUGCCCCCCUUUACCUGCUACACAAAAGUGAAGCAGGAAUUCCUCCUGGUUCUAUGCAGAAUCUAUCAGUGUUGAGUCAACUUCAGGAGCUCUAUCUCAGCUCUUUAGCUCAGUUGUGUAUUCUAUGUGGAUUCUCCCCUAGACUAAAGCAAGUAGGGAAUUGGUGGGCUUGCUAUCGCCUUGGCAGGACAUCUGAUGAAAUAAAGUACUUAACUUCCUUGCAUUUUAUCGCCUAUAAUCAGGAAUUGAUUCCACUUCCCCUGGUGUGACAUAAGGAAAGAUGCCUCCCUGCAGAAGUGCUCCACUGGUGACCCCUGGUUUGAUAUGGAAAUGAAAGGGGCAGAUGUCUUCCUGUGGAAGAGCUCUGCUGCAUCCAGCUUCUGAUAGGAGAUGAUGUGGCUGGAGAGAGUGUUUUUCACACUGGUAUCAUGGUCUCUAAUAAUGAGAGGGCAAUGACCAGCUUUAAAAUGUACCAAACUUCAUCUCCUGGCAUGUUUCAAAAUAAAUGUAAAAUUCUUGCACUGAUGGAGUAGUGACCUAUGCCAACUUUGAAAUCACGGGUUCUGGAAAUGGCACUGACAUCUAGUGCUAGCAGCUGUCUUUGUUGUCCAGAAUGAUGUAGUCUAGUCCUUGGUACUGGAAGUUCUGCUAUUAAUACUCUGAGCUGAGGCUAUGUGCACUGAGCUGGCCCCUGGGCAGAGCUGAAGUCUAAGAAUUCCCACUCUCUCACCUUUGGCUGCACCAGAGACUAAGCCAAGAGCAGGAAAAGCUAGAAGAAACCUGAUCGAUCAUCUGUCAUGGGCAGCCUAUCCAAAGAGAGUUCUGGGAUGGCUUUCCCGCAGAAACCUGUAUAGGGCACUUUGUACAUAUCACAAGUGUUUUGUAUGGUCAUGGAGUUUCCCUAUUAACAGGACUUGAACUCCAGACUGUUAGGACUUUUUGUUUGUUUGGUAAGGUUGUAAACAAGGAAAACUCAUGUCUGUGUCCCUUGGUCCAAAAACAUGCUGUGUACUCUCUGAGCCAAGCUCUCAGAGAAUCUUUGUUCAGAUUGUAGAAACUGGAAAUAAAAGCAAUAUUCAAAAUAAAGAGUUUUAUGUGAUGUAAAGUAAGCAGACCUGCAAUGGAAUGAGGAGGUUCACUGACAUCUAAAUGAACUCAUGCAAUGAUGCCUCAAUGAAUACAUAUUUCUUUGCCUAUUCGCUUUCUCCUAUAUAGAUCCAAGUAAUAAUAAUGUACAACUCAACUGAGAAGUCUGCAGGGGAGAUUACUCUUUGUCUAUUCAAGUCACGGCUUCUUGACUCCAGGAAAAGAGGUUUGCUGGCCCCACCCCACUUUACCAAGCCCAUACCAUUGCUCCUUGUUUUGCAGUGGUCUUGCUGGCUUGCCAUGAUUUCAUUUCCCUGUUCUUGUUAUGCACCCAAUUUGUAAUUUGAAACAUUAAAUACAAGUGGCUGUCAAGUAGCUGUUCGCCUGAAUCACCGUGUUAAAUCUGGCCCAAGUCAACAGGAGCCAUCUUUGAAAUGAGCUGGUGAUGUCAGGUCAGUGUUUAGUGGACAUGUUUAUUUCACUGUGAGCACUGAUUAGUCUGGUUUUCAGCCGUUUCUGUAGGGAGCCCAAGGUUGGCCUGGAGAUUGAAUUCCUCUGUCACAUAUGAUGGUCUCUAAAAGUUGAGGUUGAGGCCAUCUGUGAGGAGAGACAUGUAGGAAAUUCCCCUGUGCAUCAGCUGCUGUAGGUAUAAAUUAUAGGACUUUGGCUAUCACAUCAAUCUAGCACUUUUCAAUAGCACAGAAAUCAUGAAGCACUUAAAAAAAAUCCUAAAAAUACUUUGGAUAAUAUUUGAUGUGUUCUUUCUGAAACUGAAUCAUUUCAAAAGGCUCUUGAUGUUUUUGUUUCUAUCUGCAAACUGUACCUCUUGUAAACGAGAUGAGCAGCAGAGGCACAGUGUGGAUGACAGUGAAGUGGUCCUGAUGGAACCCAUUGGCCAGAAUGGGGCUUGCUGAGAUUGCAGCACUCCUGCAGGUUGCAGCUGUGAGCACUCAGCACUUCUGCACUUCUGCAAAUCGGACCCCAGCAUCUCAAGUUGGGUACCAAGAAAAUGAGGACCAUCCAGUGGCCACCUAUCAAAAUUUUGGUUUAAGUGACUCGCCCAGCAUCAGAUAGGAACUCUGUGGCAUGGGCAAAGAUAGAAUCCAGUCUCCAGGAAAUUUUGACUUCCUAAAAAUGUGCAUACUCCUUGGAAAUAACUACAUUUCCCUGAAUUUCUGAAGAAUUGAAAGCUGAGGAGCAGCCCAAAUCACAAUGUCCAAGAGAAUCUGUUGUUUAAACAGGUUGGCUGCUACUGAACCAGAAGAGGAGAAGUAGGUUCACCUCUGAUUUAACCGGCACUCCUGCCUUCCCAAAUGAGACUGGACUUUUCCCUAAUGCCAAGGACCAGAGGCUGGGAUGGGCAUGUUUGCAAAAGGCAUCCUGGUGCGUCAUCUGUCCGUUCCUGUAUUUCCAUGUUUCCCUCAGGCAAUUCAUGCUGGUGACUUACCUCCUUCCAUGGAUUCAUCUGGUUAUCGCUGAUCAGGGAGCUUAUCCUUUAUGUGAAUAAGGGCUGCAGAAUCGGGCUCUCUCCAGCAGACCUCAGAA